CUGGCUCAGAACGAACGCUGCGGCGUGCUUAACACAUGCAAGUCGAACGCGAAAGGGACUUCGGUCCUGAGUAAAGUGGCGCACGGGUGAGUAACGCGUAGAUAACCUGUCUUCAUGUCUGGAAUAAUACGCCGAAAGGGGUACUAAUACCGGAUAUUCUUGCUUUUCAUAAGUUAUGCAAGCAAAGGUGGCCUCUGCAUAUGCUACUGCAUGAAGAGGGGCCUGCGUACCAUUAGCUAGUAGGUGGGGUAAUGGCCUACCUAGGCGACGAUGGUUAGCGGGUCUGAGAGGAUGAUCCGCCACACUGGCACUGGAACACGGGCCAGACUCCUACGGGAGGCAGCAGUGAGGAAUAUUGCGCAAUGGGGGAAACCCUGACGCAGCGACGCCGCGUUGAGUGAGGAAGGCCUUCGGGUCGUAAAGCUCUGUCAAGAGGAAAGAAGUGUACAAUGGCUAAUACCUGUUGUAUUUGACGGUACCUCUAAAGGAAGCACCGGCUAACUCCGUGCCAGCCGCCGC
rnacentral:rRNA from 1 species